UGGGGAAUUUUGCACAAUGGGGGAAACCCUGAUGCAGCGACGCCGCGUGAUUUAGAAGGCCUUCGGGUUGUAAAAAUCUUUUUUACGGGAUGAAAAUGACAGUACCGUAAGAAUAAGGUCCGGCUAAAUACGUGCCAGCAGCCGCGGUAAUACGUAUGGACCGAGCGUUGUCCGGAAUCAUUGGGCGUAAAGGGUACGUAGGCGGCCUAGUAAGUUAGAAGUGAAAUAAUAUAGCUCAACUAUAUAAAGCUUUUAAAACUGCUAGGCUUGAGAGAUGGAAGGAAAAGUGGAAUUCCUAGUGUAGCGGUGAAAUGCGCAGAUAUUAGGAAGAAUACCGGUGGCGAAGGCGACUUUCUGGUCAUCAUCUGACGCUGAGGUACGAAAGCGUGGGUAGCAAACAGG
rnacentral:rRNA from 1 species